CCUACGGGGGACAGCAGUGAGGAAUAUUGGUCAAUGGACGAGAGUCUGAACCAGCCAAGUAGCGUGAAGGAUGACUGCCCUAUGGGUUGUAAACUUCUUUUAUAAAGGAAUAAAACGAGGCACGUGUGCCUUUUUUCAUGUACUUUAUGAAUAAGGAUCGGCUAACUCCGUGCCAGCAGCCGCGGUAAUACGGAGGAUCCGAGCGUUAUCCGGAUUUAUUGGGUUUAAAGGGAGCGUAGAUGGGUUGUUAAGUCAGUUGUGAAAGUUUGCGGCUCAACCGUAAAAUUGCAAUUGAUACUGGCAGUCUUGAGUACAGUUGAGGUAGGCGGAAUUCGUGGUGUAGCGGUGAAAUGCUUAGAUAUCACGAAGAACCCCGAUUGCGAAGGCAGCUUACUAAACUGUGACUGACAUUGAUGCUCGAAAGUGUGGGUAUCAAACAGGAUUAGAUACCCGGGUAGUC
rnacentral:rRNA from 1 species